rnacentral:rRNA from 1 species
UUGAUUGACGUGAGUGGCGGACGGGUGAGUAACACGUGGGUAACCUGCCCUUAAGCGGGGGAUAACAUUUGGAAACAGAUGCUAAUACCGCAUAAAAGUUGAGAUCACAUGGUCUUAAUUUGAAAGACGGCCUUUGGCUGUCACUUAAGGAUGGACCCGCGGCGUAUUAGCUAGUUGGUGAGAUAAUAGCCCACCAAGGCGAUGAUACGUAGCCGACCUGAGAGGGUAAUCGGCCACAUUGGGACUGAGACACGGCCCAAACUCCUACGGGAGGCAGCAGUAGGGAAUCUUCCACAAUGGACGAAAGUCUGAUGGAGCAACGCCGCGUGAGUGAAGAAGGUUUUCGGAUCGUAAAACUCUGUUGUUGGAGAAGAACAGGGACUAGAGUAACUGUUAGUCCUUUGACGGUAUCCAACCAGAAAGCCACGGCUAACUACGUGCCAGCAGCCGCGGUAAUACGUAGGUGGCAAGCGUUGUCCGGAUUUAUUGGGCGUAAAGCGAGCGCAGGCGGUUUCUUAAGUCUGAUGUGAAAGCCUUCGGCUUAACCGAAGAAGUGCAUCAGAUACUGGGAAACUUGAGUGCAGAAGAGGAAAGUGGAACUCCAUGUGUAGCGGUGAAAUGCGUAGAUAUAUGGAAGAACACCAGUGGCGAAGGCGGCUUUCUGGUCUGUAACUGACGCUGAGGCUCGAAAGUAUGGGGAGCGAACAGGAUUAGAUACCCUGGUAGUCCAUACCGUAAACGAUGAAUGCUAAGUGUUGGAGGGUUUCCGCCCUUCAGUGCUGCAGCUAACGCAUUAAGCAUUCCGCCUGGGGAGUACGACCGCAAGGUUGAAACUCAAAGGAAUUGACGGGGGCCCGCACAAGCGGUGGAGCAUGUGGUUUAAUUCGAAGCUACGCGAAGAACCUUACCAGGUCUUGACAUCUAGCGCCAAUCCUAGAGAUAGGACGUUCCCUUCGGGGACGCUAAGACAGGUGGUGCAUGGUUGUCGUCAGCUCGUGUCGUGAGAUGUUGGGUUAAGUCCCGCAACGAGCGCAACCCUUAUGAUUAGUUGCCAGCAUUUAGUUGGGCACUCAAAGCAGACUGCCGGUGACAAACCGGAGGAAGGU